AAACAACGAGCGAUAAUUGAUCGCAACGGCAGGUGUUCAGAGACAGCUAGCGGGGGAAUUAAUUUGUUUGAGGUGGAAUAUAUAAAAAAACACUGGACAACAAAAACUAUUUUCAAAGAGGAAAAAGAAACAACCGCCUUGACGAGAAGAGAUUUCUCACUGAUUCACCUUGAUCGAACCAAAUCAAAUGACAACCAUGUUGAGGAGUCACCUUUUGUAUGCUAUGAUUGCUACAGUUGUAAUAGUGGAGAUAUUACAGACCGUGGAUGCUGCGCCAGCUUGCCUCUGUAUGGACCAUGGAAUAUCCUGUCUUAAUGGCUGCAUAACCGACACAUGUGCGAACAGAUGUAAUCUAGAAAAGAUGAUGUGCUACAAGAAUUGUCGCCGAAGUAAGAAAGACGAAACAAUGCUUGAUGCACUGGCUGAUGAGUACAUGUUGUUGGACAACUCACUAUAAUAUCGACAGAAAGAAGCAGAGCAAAACGAAUUUCCUUUUCUGUUUUGAGACAAAAGAGAUGCAGUAGUAUAAAAUGAUUCACCUACAGGAUAUGUUAUUAAUGCCGGUUUGUAAAACACUGUUGAUAACUAAAACUUGUCGAUGAAUUGAAAGGUGUCAAUAAAAUGAAAGGAUACCAAAGACCGUCGUUCCAAAGUUUAUUGCAGUGGCUUUACUGAAGGCUGAAUCAGAUAUCUCUGUGAGACAGGAUUCUUAAAGGGUAAUAAAUUUGCCUUUUUCCACUGGAAAAUGCACUGGACACAUAACAUUCAGUAAGAAACCAGAGAAAUUAAUGUGACGAAAUUCUCGAGCUGUUGUGAGUGGGGGAGGGUGGGGGUGCACUUACCCUGGAAGUCUUAUCAGCAAUUCAAACCCGACUGUGACUCGAGUGCUCGAUAUUUCCUCCAGUGUAGGCCGUUCCAGAAUAGAGACCUUUAGAUGAAAAUACGAGUACGAGUACGAGUGCGAUUUUCAAAUUUCAAACCAGUGACUUUUCCAGAACCCUUGCUCUUUAUGUUGGCUUUAUGGGUAGAGAGGGUAGCUCAUAGGACGGGUAGGAAGAGAUGGGUAUGAAGAGAUGGGUGUGUGACGUGGAAAUGUAGAGCCUACAAACUAAAUUGAAAAGUCGAACUCGUACCCCAUCACGUAUUCUUACUCACAUCUUAAGUCCCCUGGUAAUACAAAAGACCAGAAAUGACACAAGAGUGGCACCCGAUCAUGUGAACUGAAGGUGUCAAGCACAGCCAUAACCAAUGUCUUAAAUGUCAUAAUCAUUAUAUCGGUUUGCCUGCUCGAUGAGAGGCUGGGAACUUCCCAGCUUUUAUUUAAUCAUCGUACGAUGUAACAACCUUGCCUAUGUAGGUUGCCAUUAAGUUCCACGCAUGUGCUGUUUGCGGCAAAGGCCUUUUUCUUUUAGAUGGACGGCUUUAGGCAGGCUUGCUCUGUGUUGCUAUAGCUUGCAAUGCACCUUACAGUCUGCGACCAACUAUAAGAUCAAUGCACAAAGGUAACAAAAACGUACUCAUCUACAUCAACAUUCUCCCUCUCCUCGUCGACAGACAAAAGAAAACGAAGCUUCUUAUCAUAUCAUAAAUCUACCAAUCAAUUUCAUGGCUGGUUUUUCUGCUUAUUUUGGAGCACUUCUUCUACUUUAUUGCUGCUUUCAUUCAGUGUACUGCUCGUGUGACUGUGACGCACUCUUUAACCAAUGUUUUUCGAUGUGCAGUGACCCCAGCGAAUGCACGGCUUGUACGUCAAGGAAUGAAGAAUGCAAGAGUAAUUGCUCAGGAAAAAGGAGUUCAGAAGAUUGGAAAACUACAGUACAUGCAAAGUCCGUGCUGAUCGGUCCAGGCCAAGAUGACCAUCUUCCGUUGGGUCACAGUCUGAAGUAUCUGUUGCGUGACAUCCUAGCCAAACGUGAGAAGGAUGGUCAGCAUUAACGGCCGGAGAAUUCAGAGUUCUUAAAUAUUUUCGUUAACUCUGCCUGGCAGCAAAAUAUAACCAGCAGACAAUCUCGCUAAAAUAAUUUGUAAUUUGGUAAAGAAGUUAUGUCUGCCCUGAAAAUAAAUUUUGCCUUGACAAAGAUGGUCUACUCUUUCUCAAAGUCCAACCUUCUUGCUAACUGUGAAAGGCAGUUUAAUUGAGCGGGACACAGCGGUUACUUGAGAAACCAGUGAUAACGUGGAAAUUGUUCAUUAUUGAAUUUUAAAAUUAAAACUCUGCAUUUUGUUUUUAACCCCAGCCGCCUUUACGUCAAACGAGCUAGUGUCACCCCAAGCGUCGCUUUCAACGAGCAAAGUUACAACAGUUUAGUCUUAGUUUAAACAGACAUACAAAUGAGGUAAAACGAUCAAUAUAAGGCAGAAUUGACCCUUUUGUCUCGUUUGUUUGCCAAUGUUAUAACAGCUUUUUUAUCACUGACAAAGCAUGCCACAAGCGAAAGCGAGGCCUAUAAUUUUGAGCAACUGACGUAGCCGCAUUCAUAACAGAAUAAGUUUCAUUUGGUUAGAAAGCAGAUCAUAAGAAUGAUCAAGUGCUAUGAAAUAGUGAGCUUAGAGCAUCUUGCAACCAUGGUCAGCUUUUUUGGCCUUUUUAUGCCUCGUUAACAUGGUGUGCCGGUAGCUUUUUACUGGGCUCCAGGUUUCCACAGAGUUAACGCCCUCUUCCGUUGCCGCCUUUGAGCGCAUUCUGUGGCUGGAAGCUUAACCUUACACUAUGAGACUGACUGCCAAUUUUUGUAACGUUAUAAAUAGAAGACAUACUGAAGCUUUCGCUGUGCUUCAAGAUAUCACACUACAUUUAGAUAUGUUAUGCGAGAGCGAGGGCCUCACGGGCAGAGUACCGGUUAACGUUCAAAUCAACUCCACGCUCGUCUCAGUUUCUUAGGCGCUAUCCCAAAAAAACAAAUCCUCUUUUAAAGUUGCACUUAAAGUGUAUAUUUGUAGGGACUGAAAAUUGGUCAACAAUUUAGCUGCCAGCUGAAUAGUGACUACCCUGGGUCACCCAGGGGACCACCCAGGGUACGAAAUCACUUGAUUUUAGCCGAUACCUGAGAUCUGCAAAAUUUACUGAUAACUGAGAAAUGAGUUGAAAUGUUAACUGAUAGCUUUGACAUCUUGGAAAUUGAAAGGUAACUGAUGUUGAAGUCCCCAUCUCAUUGCUUACUUCAUUGGCUUUGAAACAGUUUUGUCCCAGCUUCUAUACUAUACAUCAUACGUUGAAUGAAACGCUGCAUAAUUUAGGAAAAGUUACAUCUCUUCCUCCCUCUACAAUGGCCACUUUACAGGACUUUAUCCUGCCCCGAUAGUUGUAGAGA